CAAAAGUACCAAAAAAUACUGAGCCAGUUAAAAAUGAACUAUCAUAUGCAUUUACAGAACUUGAACACAUGGGAUCUCUACCACACAACUCCAGUUAAUAGUUUUAUUUCACCAACAGUCAAGCAUGGUAACUGAAUAGAUUACUUCACCACCAGUCUGGUCACUACUGUUGUAAGAUGACUUUAACGUACAUAAUACCGUCACAAUAACUGAUAAAAAAAACCCAAUAACUACAAACCUGACCAGCCACAAAUCACCACAAGUCAUUCUCAGUGACUAACUUAUGCAUUUGCAAACCAAACAUGGCUGCAGUUUGGUGAAACCUUAUGUGGCGGAAAACUACUGGCGCACAGCACAUUUAACAGUGGGAUUUUCUACACUACAGGCCGGGAGGUUUUUACAGAAAUAUCUUUCACAGAGAGCUCGUUCUGCACACAUUUUCAGAGAUGAAGACAUCCUGUCAGGAAUUGAAGAAUUGGCAGAAGAUGUUCUACUGCAGCAACUGGGAACAAGUCAUUGUGUUUUUCACCAUGUCACCUGCCGCCACAGACUGCUGCGUGAGAGCCCAAAGCAACAUCUGGACUGAGCAAGACUGCACACAGGACCCAGAUCUGUGGCUGAGGGGACGUGGAAAAGUUUUUGCAGAUUUUAAAUAGUUCUGCAUUUUUAGUAAUAAAAAUCAACUGCAGAACUGGAAUCAUUUCACAACCACAUCUUGAUGUACGCUGAGGCCUGGAUUAUAACCAUCAUGGGAUAGCAUUUUGCUGUAAGUCUGGAACAAAAAGUCCGGGAGAUGGAGUUUAUAUGCUGUUGCAUUUCCAAAGGACUACAGGUACUUGCCAGACCUGCAGAGUGCCAUUGUGAGAAGACAGCUGGCUGAUGACGAGGGGAUUCCCAGAAAGAGAGUGGUGCAUCCCUCAGACCCACGACAGCUCAGAGUUUCAGCCCUGACCACAGAGCAGCUCCUGGAGCAUCAAGUCAGGUAACAGGUAAACUGACAUACUUUACUGGAGCAACACACCUUAACAAAACAGCAGGGCACCUAAACCAGACUCUGAAUAAAAGAUUUCCUUACUGCAGAAAACAUGAAUUUAAGAUUCUGUUUCUUGUUUGACUACACUGCAAACUAUUUUUUGACAAUAUUUCUGUAAAAAAUAAUAACCACGUGAUAAUCACCAGCAGUCGACCAGAACAGUAGCCUUCCAAUCAACCUGGCAAAUGAAAAGAAAAGAUCACCUUGAUAGCAGAUGAACACUACUUUAAGAGUAUAUGUUAUUAAAGUUUGACAUUUUAGUUAUCAUUGUUGUGGUUGGUAAUUCUUCCAAGUAGAGAGCUGACAUUUAGAUGUAAUCAUCUCUAUAAUAAGUGUAAUUAAAUAUAAAGUUUUAUAGCAUAUUG